rnacentral:ribozyme from 16 species
AUUUAAAAAAAAAAGAAAAAAUCGCCCAAAUACUCCAGCAAAAACAUAUCACAUGCAUAUUACAUUUCUAUAUCUAUGUCUCUUGUUGUUG